rnacentral:ncRNA from 1 species
GCGGGGAUAAAAACACGGUCCGGUUGGUAGUCCGGGCGCGGCGAAAGCCGUCAGUAACCUGCCUCCUAAGGUUGUCCGUUUCCC